rnacentral:rRNA from 1 species
UACGGGGGGGGGCAAGCGUUGUUCGGAAUUACUGGGCGUAAAGGGCUCGUAGGCGGCCAACUAAGUCAGACGUGAAAUCCCUCGGCUUAACCGGGGAACUGCGUCUGAUACUGGAUGGCUAGAGUGUGGGAGAGGGAUGCGGAAUUCCAGGUGUAGCGGUGAAAUGCGUAGAUAUCUGGAGGAACACCGGUGGCGAAGGCGGCAUCCUGGACCACGACUGACGCUGAGUGAGCGAAAGCCAGGGGAGCAAACGGG